GACGAACGCUGGCGGCGUGCCUAAUACAUGCAAGUCGAGCGCAGGAAACCGUCUGAACCCUUCGGGGGGACGACGGCGGAAUGAGCGGCGGACGGGUGAGUAACACGUAAAGAACCUGCCCAUAGGUCUGGGAUAACCACGAGAAAUCGGGGCUAAUACCGGAUGUGUCAUCGGACCGCAUGGUCCGCUGAUGAGAGGCGCUCCGGCGUCGCCCAUGGAUGGCUUUGCGGUGCAUUAGCUAGUUGGUGGGGUAAUGGCCCACCAAGGCGACGAUGCAUAGCCGACCUGAGAGGGUGAUCGGCCACACCGGGACUGAGACACGGCCCAGACUCCUACGGGAGGCAGCAGUAGGGAAUCUUCCACAAUGGACGAAAGUCUGAUGGAGCAACGCCGCGUGAACGAUGAAGGCUUUCGGGUCGUAAAGUUCUGUUGUAAGGGAAGAACAAGUGCCGCAGGCAAUGGCGGCACCUUGACGGUACCUUGCGAGAAAGCCACGGCUAACUACGUGCCAGCAGCCGCGGUAACAC
rnacentral:rRNA from 1 species